UACGAAGGGGGCUAGCGUUGCUCGGAAUCACUGGGCGUAAAGCGCACGUAGGCGGAUCUUUAAGUCAGGGGUGAAAUCCCAAGGCUCAACCUUGGAACUGCCUUUGAUACUGGGGAUCUCGAGUCCGGAAGAGGUUGGUGGAACUGCGAGUGUAGAGGUGAAAUUCGUAGAUAUUCGCAGGAACACCAGUGGCGAAGGCGGCUUACUGGUCCAUAACUGACGCUGAGGUGCGAAAGCGUGGGGAGCAAACAGG
rnacentral:rRNA from 1 species